UAGGGGCGGCCAACGGCCGUUUUUCGCGUCAAUGCACGCGGACUUCUCCUCUCCUCAUUUUUAUUUUUCCAUCUUGUCACUUAAUGGCGUGGGGGAUACUGGGUCGUGCUGGAGUCAAACCUCUUACUUAAAAAAAAACUUUUGAGGCUGCUGUGGGCUGGUAUUCCCCCCCACCCCCACCCCUUUCCUUAGGCUGACAGCGUGGAAGAUUUCAGCCCGUUCACCUUCAACCCGGUCUAGCACUCCCAGGAUGUGGAAAUCUCGCUGCAAGAGGGCCAAGGACUGGAAUUGUAGAUGCCUCGCCCUUCCCCAAACAGCACCCGUGGAAUCUGUGCGGCCAGGUCUUGGGUGAAGGGUGCUAAAUUACCAGGCUCCGUUUGCUACAUCCGAAGUAUGCCAACAGGCCUGAUGACGGCAGUCUUCAAAAUAAAAACCGUCUCUGCUGGAAGGCAGGGGAAGAUAGCAAAACUCCUAGAAUUGUCUUCAUUCUCCACUAGGGAUUCCAUUUAAGAACUGCUCCUCUCGGAAUGGACUUCUUCCAGGGAAAAUAUUAAUAGCCACAGCAGGACAACAGGCUUAUUAUACAGGAUGUUCCAGGAGGUAAGUGAACCUACACUGAGCACAGUCCAUUUCUAAACAACAAGCUUCUAAACCACAAGGACAUAUUGUAUUUAUGAUUCAGUUUCAUUUCCCCAGAGAUUAGGACAAGGCUAAGCACUCAGUAGGUGUUCAGUAAAUGUGCCCCCAAAGGAUAUUCCAGUUCACAAAGAGGAUUUGGUGGAUUUGGUUAAAGUGAGAGAAAUC